rnacentral:rRNA from 1 species
GACGAACGCUGGCGGCGUGCUUAACACAUGCAAGUCGAACGGAAAGGCCCUGCGUUUGUGGGGUGCUCGAGUGGCGAACGGGUGAGUAACACGUGAGUAACCUGCCCUUGACUUUGGGAUAACUUCAGGAAACUGGGGCUAAUACCGGAUAGGAGCUCCUGCUGCAUGGUGGGGGUUGGAAAGUUUCGGCGGUUGGGGAUGGACUCGCGGCUUAUCAGCUUGUUGGUGGGGUAGUGGCUUACCAAGGCUUUGACGGGUAGCCGGCCUGAGAGGGUGACCGGCCACAUUGGGACUGAGAUACGGCCCAGACUCCUACGGGAGGCAGCAGUGGGGAAUAUUGCACAAUGGGCGGAAGCCUGAUGCAGCAACGCCGCGUGCGGGAUGACGGCCUUCGGGUUGUAAACCGCUUUCGCAUGUGACGAAGCGUGAGUGACGGUAAUGGGUAAAGAAGCACCGGCUAACUACGUG